rnacentral:lncRNA from 1 species
UCGUUGCAUUGCUAUGGAGGCGAAGGUUAUACGAGUUGAACGUUUUGAUGGUGGCUGUCAAAGAUUGUGCAUAGAGGAAGUGAGUUUAUUAUGGAGAUGAUAGCUGUUGAGUUGAUUGUUUUAGAUCGGAGGGAGUAUCGACGGUUGUUGGAGGAUUUGGUGUGGGUCGUGCCGGUGAAGUUUAUCGGAAAGGUGAAGGUUGUCGGAAGAGAAAGUUAGUGGAUCAGAGGUUGGGCUCGUGUGGUGGCUUCGCAAUUUGGACGGAAAUGCGAAAGAGAAGAGUGUUGUCGGUUGGAUGCGGUGUUGUGACGGCGGUAGAACCUCGCCGGAGGGCGAUUCGCACAGUGGUCGGAGUUAGUUAAGAGGUUGAAGAAAGGGGUUUUGAUGGCGAGGUAGAUGAACGGAGGGAAGCCGUCGAGGGAGGUGUUUCGUGGUUGAAGGUGGUUUGAACAAGGUGGAUGAAGGUUAUGGUGGAAGGCGGUGUUGAUGGACGGUGAAGGAUGAGGGAAUGAAGGUUUUUCUGUGAGGGAGAAAAGAGAGAAAUGUGAGUGAUGAGUGUUUGUGUGGAGGUGCGUUGGAGAUGAAGAGGAAAAAUCCUCUUCUUGUUUUCUUUCUUUUUUCGUUUUUUGUACAGAGAGAGUGAGUGAGUAUGUGGUAAACGUGAGGGAGAGUGAGAGAAAGUCGUUUUUUAUUUACUCCUUUUUGUUUUUUUUAUAUAUUACUAUUAUUAUUAAUUCAUUCUUCUAUUGGUGAAUAGAGAUGCACAUGGAUA